rnacentral:rRNA from 1 species
GAUGAGCGCUGGCGGCGUGCCUAAUACAUGCAAGUCGAGCGAACAGACGAGGAGCUUGCUCCUCUGACGUUAGCGGCGGACGGUUGAGUAACACGUGGAUAACCUACCUAUAAGACUGGGAUAACUUCGGGAAACCGGAGCUAAUACCGGAUAAUAUAUUGAACCGCAUGGUUCAAUAGUGAAAGACGGUUUUGCUGUCACUUAUAGAUGGAUCCGCGCCGCAUUAGCUAGUUGGUAAGGUAACGGCUUACCAAGGCGACGAUGCGUAGCCGACCUGAGAGGGUGAGCGGGCACACUGGAACGGAGACACGGUCCAGACUCCUACGGGAGGCAGCAGUAGGGAAUCUUCCGGAAUGGGCGAAAGCCUGACGGAGCAACGCCGCGUGAGUGAUGAAGGUCUUCGGAUCGUAAAACUCUGUUAUUAGGGAAGAACAAAUGUGUAAGUAACUAUGCACGUCUUGACGGUACCUAAACAGAAAGCCACGGCUAACUACGUG